CCUACGGGGGGCAGCAGUGAGGAAUAUUGGUCAAUGGCCGAGAGGCUGAACCAGCCAAGUCGCGUGAGGGAAGACGGCCCUACGGGUUGUAAACCCCUUCUGCCGGGGAGCAAAGCGAGUCACGUGUGACUCAUUGAGUGUACCCGAAGAAAAAGCAUCGGAUAACUGCGCGCCAGCAGCCGCGGUAAUAUGGAGGAUGCGAGCGUUCUCCGGUUUUUUUGGGUUAAAGGGGUGCGCAGGCGGAGGCGAAGGUCAGCGGUAAAAUUGCGGGGCUCAACCCCGUACUGCCGUUGAAACUGCAUCCCUUGAGUGCGCGAGAGAUAUGCGGAAUGCGUGGUGUAGCGGUGAAAUGCAUAGAUAUCACGCAGAACUCCGGUUGCGAAGGCAGCAUACCGGCGCGCAACUGACGCUCAUGCACGAAAGCGUGGGUAUCGAACAGGAUUAGAUACCCGUGUAGUC
rnacentral:rRNA from 1 species